rnacentral:rRNA from 1 species
CCAAUAGCGUAUAUUAAAGUUGUUGCAGUUAAAAAGCUCGUAGUUGAAUUUCGGGAUCAAAUAAUCGGUCGUGCCUCCGGUAUGUACUGGUUUUAUUGGUUCCUCCCUUCUGACGAACCAUGAUGUCAUUAAUUUGAUGUGGUGGAGAAUCAGGACUGUUACCUUGAAAAAAUUAGAGUGUUUAAAGCAGGCUAACGCUUGAAUACAUUAGCAUGGAAUAAUGAAAUAGGACGUUCGACCCUAUUUUGUUGGUUUCUAGGAUCGACGUAAUGAUUAAUAGGGAUAGUUGGGGGCAUUAGUAUUCAAUUGUCAGAGGUGAAAUUCUUGGAUUUAUUGAAGACUAACUACUGCGAAAGCAUUUGCCAAGGAUGUUUUCAUUAAUCAAGAACGAAAGUUAGGGGAUCGAAGACGAUCAGAUACCGUCGUAGUCUUAACCAUAAACUAUGCCGACUAGGGAUCGGAUGAUGUUAAUUUUUUAAUGACUCAUUCGGCGCCUUACG